UUCUUCAAUUACUUGCAAAUUUGGUGAGUUCCUUCAAACGGUGGGCGAAGAGCUUAAUUUUGAGAGAGAGAAAAAGUCGUGAAGAGUAUUUGCGAGAGAGGGGGAACGUCGCCAGAGAGCAUUUGCGAGAGAGCUAAAGACAGUGACGAUGUGGGAUGAAGUAAGGUUUUUUUCGGUCAUUGUUCACAAGUGGGAUGAAAGCUUCGAAUUAUUUGUUUUAAAUCAAAAAGCAUAUGAUUGAAGGAAAACAUUGAUUUUUUAUUAGGGUAAUUUUUAAUGACACAUAAUUUAUGCCAUUAUUUACAAUGCGAAAAUUUUGUCAAGAAAA